UGAGGAAUAUUGGUCAAUGGACGGAAGUCUGAACCAGCCAUGCCGCGUGAAGGAUGAAGGCGUUCUGCGUCGUAAACUUCUUUUAUCUGGGAAGAAACCACAGAUUUCUAUUUGUGUUGACGGUACCAGAUGAAUAAGCACCGGCUAACUCCGUGCCAGCAGCCGCGGUAAUACGGAGGGUGCGAGCGUUAUCCGGAUUUACUGGGUUUAAAGGGUGCGUAGGCGGGCUAUUAAGUCAGAGGUGAAAUCUCCGGGCUCAACCUGGAAACCGCCUUUGAUACUAUUAGCCUUGAAUUAUGUUGAGGUUUGCGGAAUAUAACAUGUAGCGGUGAAAUGCUUAGAUAUGUUAUGGCACACCGAUUGCGAAGGCAGCUGGCUAAACAUAUAUUGACGCUGAUGCACGAAAGCGU
rnacentral:rRNA from 1 species